GAACACUCUUAACCGCUGAACCAUCUCCCUGGCCCCUAGAAGCUGUUUUUAUUGUUACACAGAAGGUACUUUUAGCAAGUCAUUUUCCACAUACCCAAACCUUAUCUGAUCUAGGGGUUGUCUUGAAAGACUCAUCACCUAAGCAUUUCUCAGCCACAGGAGACUUCCUGGUUUGCCAGGCUUGUCUUGAGUCUAAGUUAUGCAAAGCGCUGAGACUCCUUCAAAAGAACAACCUCAUAAAAUCUCAGAUAACAAUCACUCACAAAAGGCUACUUCAAAGCCCUGGUGUCAUCGCUUCAGAUUCAUGCCAGAUACAAAGGCUCUGCUAAGAUUCUGCAACUUGAGGGGAGGGGGAGCACAAGCAUUUUUAACAUUUGAACCUUAUCUCCAGCCUUCUGUUUUUUUUUCUUCUUAUAGCUGGAAAAAAGCAGGUGUGGAACACGAAAAAGAAAACAAGUUGAUUUUCCUGGAGACAUAUAAGUUCUUUAUGUCCACAUUCAACAUUUGUUAUACAAGCCCAUUUAGCAGUAUGCAGAUAACUUGUUCUGAUUUGGACCAAGAUUUAUAAAG
rnacentral:lncRNA from 1 species